rnacentral:lncRNA from 1 species
CAUGAUAUUAAUUUCAAUAUUUGUUUUACAAAAAAAUAGUUACCAUCCUAAUCGAGCUAGAGUAUGAUAUCAAAUUUUCCAUAACAUUUGAAUACAUAGCAAAAAAAUGAUCAAGUAACUCCUGAAGUAACUCCUGUUUCUACUAUUUAAGUCAUCAACUUUCAGUUCAAAUUGUCAGCUUCCAUCAUAGGCUCAAAAAAUAAUCAAUUCCUCGACUCAAUUACUAUUGUUUCACCUAUAUCAAGUAAAUCCUACAACAGUAAAGCAGAAAUUUAGCAGAAAUCAAGUAACUUCCAUCACAAUACAAUCUAAUGGGUUCCUAACAUGAGUUCUACAAUAAUUAUCAAACAUCCUAGCUCUGCCUCAUAUGCUCGACAUAAAUCAAGUAAAUAUAUCAAAGUAUCAAAUUCAAUUUUAAACACUUAACUGCAGAGAAAGCUCCACGAACCAUUUAAAAGAGAUGAAGUAACAAGUAUCACCCAAUAUGUACAUCAUACCAUCACACUAAGCAAAAUCAAAUACUUCAGCAGUUAAAAG